AGAUGUGCCACCUCUCUUGGUUCCUGGACCCUGGACCUGCAGGUUUUCAAGUAUUUGAUCUCCACUAGUGGGAGCACACUGACUCUGGACUGGCAGCUGGGGAACUUUCAUAGGACCAAACUAGGUCCUCUGAAUGAGGAUGACAGUUGUGUGGCUUGGACAGUCUGUGGCUCCACUGGCAUUGGUACCAGGAUUUAUCCCUAGUGCAACAACUGGCUUUUUGGAACCCAUUCCCUAAGGAGGGACAACUUGCUAAGCCUCCAUACAGGGAAGACAAUCAACAUAAAAAUACACUAAGAUGGACAUUGUCAUCAUCAGAAUCAACAACAGAUUCAAGUCCUAUACUGAUAAGCAAGAAUGGGUCUCCUUGGAUGUGGAAAGAAGAAACCAAAAGGAAAUCAAAUACAAAGGGAAAAAGAAGAAAGCAGAGUGUCAUAAAGCUCUGGUUGCCCUCUCCACGAUGAACUUCCCAUUGAUGGUGCUCCUGCAGUACACUCUUGAAGAAUUUCAAUGCCUUCUGCAACCCCACAUGAAAAGAACACAGCGCUGAGGUCAGAAUCUGAGUUCAGGAUCUGCCCUUUGCUGAUGAUGUGGCAUUUGAAGAAGGAUCAGUCUGUCUAGUUUCCUUCCUGGGAAAAUACAAUGCUCCCAAGAACUCCACUUCCUUCCUGAUGCCUAAAAAGUCUGCCAUUCAACCAUAUACUGAGAAACACAAUGAAAUAAUGCAGUACAUUGAAAAACCAAAAGCAUUUACAUCAGUAAUUUUUUUAAUAAAAUAGUCUCAGACUUGACAUUUUGACUUAAAUUUUUCAUUUGAGAAAACAACCACUGUCACUGAUAUUUAAUCAGUAUAUAU